UAGUGAUAUAGCAAGGGUGUAUGACUAGCAUAGCAAUUUCAUGCAGCCCCCAAUAUGGGGCUGCAGGAGGGAGGAUUUGCAGCGGGGGGCUAAUUGGAUCCAAUUAGCGGGACCUGCCCGACAACCCAUGCCGAAAGUAAAGGGAAUUUAAUUUGCUAGCACUAUAUUUAACCCUAUAACUUUCCAAGACACCAUAAAACCUGUACAUGGGGG